GGUAGAAGUUUCCUUGGCACGUGUGUUUCUGCAAAUGUGAACUGCUGCCUUCCUCAGAGUAUCUGGAUGCCCAUCUCCCACCUAAGCCCCCGAGGAAGUCAUGAUCAGGGGGAAGACAGAUGUGUAUCCCCCUAUGUCAUAUGCAGGACCCAACCAGGUAGGUGUGCUCAGAGGGGGUCCCUUCAAAAUUUGUAUGACUCCACAAGUGGAGCAAGUGGUGAUGGUGCCACUGCCUACCUUAACUUUUAGCCCAGUGGUUCGAGCUCUCCCCUGGGAUGUGGGAAACCCACGUUCAGUCUCCCACUCCAACCAGGGGGAGAGGAUUUGACCAGGGUUCUCCUGCCUCUCAGCUGAGUUCUCUAACCGCUGGUGGAGCCAGGUUUUACGAUGGGACAUUUUUAGUGUUUGGGCGAGGGAGCCAGCUUCAGCUUACCCAGCAGCUGUGGCUCCUGCCCGGUGGGACUGGGCUCUGCACCCCAUCCUAGGCACUGCAUCAUGGUGCACAGGGUCACAGAGCCAUUCAGGCUUGGCUUGGCCGCCCCUCCAUCUUGACAGAGGGGCAGACAGGCCAAAUAUGAGUGAGUGACUUUGGAGCAUGGUGCAUGGGACCAAAGCGCCGUACAACCCCCUGUGCCUUAUCGCAGUGCAGGGAGUGGGGAGCCAAGCCCAGACCUGAAGGACAGAAACCACCGCUGAUGGGUGAGAGUGGGGCAGGCUCACUCUCCAGCCCACCACCAAUGACCCAUUGCCCCCUGGUUGCUAAAGGCACCACGCAUACACCUGCAAGGGGAUGGUCACCCUUCUUUCUUUCCCCCUUAGGGGCUGCACCCCUGGCUCUAACCACUGAGCUGUGGGACAGUCUGGGGUGGGGCUCCCUCAGCCUCUCCCAUUGAAGCUGUACCACUGUGGAUAUAUCAUGAAAGAGUGAGUGGAGGAGGGAGCUGGAGCCUAGAUCUCACCCCUCCCAGGUGGGUGCCCGAACCACUGGACUAAUGAGUCUCUCUCUCUCUCGCCCAAUGACUAUUGAAGUAUUUAUCCAAAGUGAAGCAGUUUCAACAGGAGGGACUGAGUGAGCCCUACCUCUGACUGUCCCAUAGCCCAGUGGUUUGAGGACCCUGCUGAGGGAAAUUCCGUGAGAUUCUGAGCACUGAUGUGGGGAUAGACUCCUUAACAGAGAAAAUAGGUAACCAGCCAGCUCCCCCUGCUGCAUCUGGAUCACAUGAAGUCCAAUAUGAGCUGAG